AACCUCCCUGCUCUCAGGAGAACCUGGCACAGCAUGAUCACCAACUCAGAGGGAGGGAAGCAACCUUGAGUCAGCUCCCAGGCAGUAAUGAGUGCUCAAGGGAGAUAUAGCUCUAAGGAAAAGGAUUGAGGUCAUGGAAUUAGAAGAAACAGAUGGAAGAAUCAUUUGAACCAUAUCCAGGUCUUUUGAAAACGAUGAGACAGAAGAGAAAGAGACAAUUGCUUCAGACAAUUUUGCUGAGAAAUUUGCCUCAGAUAAGUUUUGAAGUAAGGUCAGAGAUCUAAGAUAUGAAAACCCCUAGGCAGGGGGCGAAAAGAAAAGAAAAGGAAAGAAAAAAAAAGAAAAGAGCAAAUACAUUCUUCCUUCUUAUCUUUGACUUCCCAGAGUAGCUUUACUAAGAUGCUGCCCAGUCGUUUCUCUCCAGACACUUUUGCCAAUUAUCUUAACACUAUAUAGGAACAUUUCUGGACUUGAUUCAUUAAUGAUUAGAAAGCUCUUAACUAGACGACCAGGCUACAGUCUCACCUGCCAGGCAGUGCAGCUGCAGAUCUUGGCUGACCAUCAUGUCAGCACCUACUAUGUAUCAGUCACUGUGUUAGGAGUUGGAAAUAUGAGGAAGACCAUAACUCUCACAAUGAGAAUACAAGGAAGACCAUCUCUCAAGAAAGGA